UUUUUCCGCCCGCUCCCCCCUCCCCCCGAGUGCCGCUCCGGCUGCACCGCGCUCGGUCAGAGCUCCCGGCUUCUGCUAAGGUAGUGCCGCCGUCGUCUCUCUCCAGCCGUCGUCAUGAUCAUCUACCGGGACCUCAUCAGCCAUGACGAGAUGUUCUCCGACAUCUACAAGAUCCGGGAGAUCGCGGACGGGCUGUGCCUGGAGGUGGAGGGGAAGAUGGUCAGUAGGACAGAGGGUAACAUUGAUGACUCGCUGAUUGGUGGAAAUGCUUCCGCUGAAGGCCCAGAGGGUGAAGGUACCGAAAGCACAGUAAUCACUGGUGUUGAUAUUGUCAUGAACCAUCACUUGCAGGAAACCAGCUUCACAAAAGAAGCCUACAAGAAGUACAUCAAAGAUUACAUGAAAUCAAUCAAAGGCAAACUUGAAGAACAGAGGCCAGACACAUCCUUGCUAAUUUCAAAAACUACCAGUUUUUUAUUGGUGAAAACAUGAAUCCAGAUGGCAUGGUUGCUCUGCUGGACUACCGUGAGGAUGGUGUGACCCCAUAUAUGAUUUUCUUUAAGGAUGGUUUAGAAAUGGAGAAAUGUUAACGAAUUCGGCCAUGACUUUGGAUGUGUCACCUGUUGCCGUUAACGGGCUGCUCCUCUUCAUCCACACGACACCAGGACUUA